rnacentral:rRNA from 1 species
CCCUUAGAUGUUCUGGGCCGCACGCGCGCUACACUGAUGCAUUCAACGAGUCUAAAACCUGCUCUGAUAGGGGUGGGUAAUCUUUUGAAUGUGCAUCGUGAUUGGGAUAGAUGAUUGCAAUUUUUCAUCUUCAACGAGGAAUGCCUAGUAAACGCAAGUCAUCAGCUUGCAUUGAUUACGUCCCUGCCCUUUGUACACACCGCCCGUCGCUCCUACCGAUUGAAUGAUCCGGUGAGGUCUUUGGACUGAGGCGACGCAGACGGUUCGCCGCCCGCGACGCCCUGGGAAGCUGCCCAAACCUUAUCAUUUAGAGGAAGGAGAAGUCGUAACA